GUACUCACUGCUAUGAUGAUAUGAAGUAGUUCAUCUUUCAUGCGGGUUUCAGUGAAGCCAGAUUCGUGUACACCCCCUUUAAUGACCAAGUCGAUAAUUGUUUUUGAAUCAGCUGUUGAAAAUUUGAAUAUUAGUUUGAUCAGCAAUGAAAGACGACUCUGAUAGUGAGCGCAAGUAAGCAUGCUUAAUUGUUUGCCUAACCUUCAAACUACAGGAGUAAAGAAACACGAAACCGUUAUUAUUUCAAUUUUUUUUCAAAUUCUUUCUGAACUCAAGUAGAAUGAAACUUAUUUUACAUAUCACUGUUUUCCUUCUUCACAUGCAAAAAAAAAAUAUGGUUAGGUAUACUUCAUUUUUGAGGAAAAUGAUGAAUCAAAUUUCAACAUAUGCAAAUUUCAAGUACCUACGUAGUAAGUAUACCUAUGAAAAUAAAGCAUCAAUGAUCAAGAUUUUAGAACCCUAUUUUUCAAGUCACUAUAAUAAAGGACGAUGAGCUAUAAUCUGCAUAAUAUUACAAAUAUGUACUCAAACUCAGGAUGAGUUGCCUAGCCUUUGAAUUCCAGGUUAGGCAAUUGUACAUAUUACACCCAGGAUGAACUGCUUACUAACUAGUUUGAAGGGGAAUCAUUCGUUACAGCACACUUUUCGUACGUAAUAAAACUAAAUUAACUGACUAGGUAAUAGGUAUAAAUAAUUCAAUGCAAUUUCUAUUACCAUCUUCGAAUGAUGAUCCACUUUUAUUUCUGUAUUCAUUUAGUCUACUCUUCAAUAUCUAAAGAAAAAAUAAAACAAGAUUUAAAUUUUACAUCGUGCACGGUAAAAAAAAUGCUAUUCUCGAAUAGAGUUUUCAUUCAAAAUGUGUAUAGCGUUACCUUGGCAGGCAAAUCGUGGAACUUGUUGACAGUCUUAAUUUUUCCAGUUAGUUUUAAAUACGCGUUGUACAUGAAACGUGGAUGCAACCAUGGUGUUAUUAUUCGUUCCAAAAUAGCGAAAGUUGCUCUGUAAUAUUAACAACAAUAAUUUAUAAAAACAAAGUUUGUUCAUUUUAAUGUCACAUCUUCAUUCGUGGCAUCAGUAGAUACUUUAAAAGUACCACCUACCAUCCUUAUAUGUACGUCCUGCAGUACUAUACUUGUAGUAGGUACUUCCAAAUUAUUUAUAGCAUUUUUUACCAUAAUUAUAAAAAUUUUUAAUGCAACUAUAGUACUUUCAAUCACUACAAUUAUAGUAAUAUUGACUAUGUAUAUUAUAGUGUCAAAAAUGAAGAUAUUUUUCCAAUUGUGAACAUGUUUCAGAAAUUUAGUAUGGAAAUUUAAUUAGAACCAAUACAGGUAAGUUAAUCAUUCAUUUUAUGCAUUAAAAUAAUAUGCUGUAAUAUCUUAAGUAUCAAGUAUUAGGAAUUUAAAAUAUUUUUAAAUCUUACUCUUCCAUAACAUCGCCAUAUUCUUUUCCUUUAUCUCCCAUGUUUUGCAUCGCAACGCCUGUUGUAUUUUCUGUAAUAAAAAAAAUGAUAUUUUUAGUUUAUUUUUACUAGCAAAAGUACCUAUCUAAAAACGAUUCAUUGCUUGUCAGCUAAAUUGAGAAAAUUUAUGUAGGUAUAUUUUUCAAAGUACCUAUACUUAUGUUGACGAGUUGAGAAAUUGGUGAAAUAAAAAAUUGAAAACUCUAUAACCUUUUUUUUUUAAAAGUAAGUAGGUAAGCUCUCAUCAGUCAAAUUAUAAGUAAGUACAUACAACGUACAAACAAAAAAACUAAAAUUGAAAAAUAACUUGACUUAUCAAAAAAAAACAAAAAAACAUUUCAAGUAUCUCAACAAAAAUUCCCAACGUCUACCAACACAAUAAGUAGGUACAUACAAUGAACAAUUGAAAAUGCUGCCACUUGUACAUACAAAAUGAAAUGAAAAUGUAUUUUUUCCUUACCUACAAUGAUAUAGAUAUUGUUCUUCAUUGCGAGCUGGAAAAUAUCUAUUAUUUUUCCAGAAUCUGCAGCGGGUUUUAUCCAAUCAACAAUAGCCAAUGAUCUUUUUUUGAAAACCUCAACAUAUCUUGCUGUCAUUUCUGAAGUAAAAGCUGGAUUCAGAACUUUUCUCGAUUUUUUCCAUUCGUCUUCAGCUGUGAUCAAUUACACAAUUAAUUCAAUUCGUGAUAUUAACACGAUUUGUUAUGUUACUCGUAAAUAUAAUAUUUAUCAGAGGGUUUGUGAUCGUAUGUCUUAUAGUCUUACGUUUGGCGCUAAUGAUUCCAAAUCCAAUCCAUUCGUCAACGAAAUGAUGAAGAUCACGAUUAUUGCACUGAUUUGAAACAGUCUGGAAAAACGAGUAAAUCGUACUAAGAACGGUGAUACAUUCAAGUGAGUGGUGACUUUUAUCAAAAAUAACUCACUAUAAUAUCAUCGUGCUUCCAUAAAAACAUGACUGGUUCGUGACAGACCCAAAAAAGCAGCCUACGAUAGGGUAAUAUCACUUUGGCCAUUUUUCUCAGAAAUCCUGAUAAUUGUUGAAAAUUACUUUCGUUUUAUAAACAGUUAAUCACAAUCACGCAAAUACAUAAAUAUUAAAAAAAAAAAAAAAAAAAAAAAAAAACUUAAAUCAA